AAACUGACCUAUUUUGGAGUCAUCACUCCCUUUGGAGUUGCUCUCCAGUUCAUUGAUCUUGGCAUCCAGUUGUCUCUGUAGAACUAGACAGAACAAUAGUAAAAUGAUUUGCGGGCACCAGGCUUUUGGGAAAGGAAGAAGCUGGCUCAGUAGGUCUAAAAGACAAAUAAACAUCCUUCAUGAAGAACCAGUAAGAAAUAUGGAGAAGUAAGACUUACGAAACCAUUCUUUCCAACUGUGACCCUUGAUUGACAUCAAAAGAAUCCUGAAGGAGACAGGGGAGGCAAAUUAAGGAGGCUGCUGAGGGGAGGACAGCUCAUAAUAAUGGCAAGAACGGCGGAAAUGGAACAGCAUCAUGAUGUAUUUGAUACCAUUCCACCAAUCCCACUCCAGCCAUUAUCACCAGCCUGUGUUUGCAAGCAUCCACACUAGAUGAAAUUGUAUAUAUAUAUAUAUCCCCAAAGCCAACACCUAAUUUCGCCGCCUUUCCUUCCAGUUCUCUGCUGCCAGUGACUGGAACGAAUUGCAAAAAUCGCUGAAGUUGGAGACUUUUAUUUCCUUCACCAACUUUAAACAUCAACUAUCUGAGCAGCUAACUGAUCGCUGCAGCUGUACAUAGUCCAUCUGUAAAUAGCCCACCCAAUCUAUCUACCUCAUCCACAUACUGUUUUUAUUUUAUUUACUUUUCUGCUCUUUUGCACACCAGUAUCUCUACUUGCACAUCAUCAUCUGCUCAUUUAUCACUUGUGUUAAUCUGCUAAAUUGAAACUAUUCGCUCCUGUGGCCUAUUUAUUGCCUACCUCCUCAUGCCUUUUGCACACACUGUAUAUAGACUUUCUUUUUUCUACUGUGUCAUUGACUUGUUUAUUGUGUUAUUGGCUUGUUUAUUGUUUAUUCCAUGUGUAACUCUGUGUUGUUGUCUGUG
ensembl:lncRNA